UAGUCCACGCCGUAAACGAUGUACAUUAGUUGUUGGUGUGCUAGACACAUCAGUAAUGCAGUUAACACAUUAAAUGUACCGCCUGGGGAGUACGGUCGCAAGAUUAAAACUCAAAGGAAUAGACGGGGACCCGCACAAGCGGUGGAGCAUGUGGUUUAAUUCGAAGAUACGCGAAGAACCUUACCUGGCCUUGACAUCCUUCGGAUCUUAUAGAGAUAUGAGAGUGCUAGUUUACUAGAGCGGAGUGACAGGUGCUGCACGGCUGUCGUCAGCUCGUGUCGUGAGAUGUUGGGUUAAGUCCCGCAACGAGCGCAACCCUUAUCUUUAGUUACUAACAGGUUAAGCUGAGGACUCUAGAGAGACUGCCUGGGCAACCAGGAGAAGGUGAGGACGACGUCAAGUCAUCAUGGCCCUUACGGCCCAGGGCUACACACGUGCUACAAUGGCUAGGACAAUGAGAAGCGAUACCGCGAGGUGGAGCAAAUCUAUAAACCUAGU
rnacentral:rRNA from 1 species